rnacentral:sRNA from 1 species
AUCUUUCUUCUUUCGUCGAGGAAUAACUACAGAAGAUACAUAACUGUUAACAGAUGGCAAAAAUAGGAUUCCUUCCUGAUAAUACGGGUUUCUGCUACCUGGCUUGAGGCCGGAGAAGAUGUGCAUUAUCGCGAUAGGUUUAUUGGAAGUUAUUUGACUUGAAAUAACUUCACUAGUAGAAAUUUGUUGAUACUGUCCAGCAUUCAGUGUCAAAUUGACAUCAGAAUUAGAUAUUUCAAUUUUUGUGCAGUUGUAGUGAGAAAUGAAUCGAAGUUUAGAGGGUGCCAUGUCGUUAACGGUUAUGGGAAACGUAUAGAAGGAUCGCUCAAAGUAUAGGAUAGAAGGAAUUUGCUCCAUGGACAUCGUUGCUUUCUCUUUUGUACCGCCGCAAACUACUUGUACAGGGUGGCUGGCAACCAGAAGAAGACCGGUGAAGUCGUCCGGGCUCUCCAGUGAAACAUGACUGUACGCCUCGUCAAUUCUGAAAGUACGAUUGCUGUGCGGAAAGGACAUAGAGUCAAUGGUGUUUUCCCCUACUGUAUGUUGUACGGUGUAGAUGGAUAUAUUGCCAUGAUUCUCAUUCACUAGGCUGACAGUGGUGUUUCUGUACAGGUUAACAAUGGCGCACACACAAAUGCCGUUGUCCGUAGUAUUGCAGUAUGGAAGCAUCCUGUACUCUACGCCUGCAACUUCAAUUGGGAACGCUAGAUAUGACCCUGCUGACAAGCCAUCUACAAAUGUUGUGAUGCUAACUGGAUGUGUUGAAUUGAUUCUAACAACAGGGAAGGGCAUCUUUAUGGUUCCGAACUCUUUUUUAAAACUAAUUUGCUUCGCCAGCCCUGGUGUGAGGUGAUGGAAGUAGAUGCGGUCCUCGUUAUUGUGGUUAUACUUUAUGUCUAUUGUAGUGUUCUCGUUGCCCACGGCGGCAAUGAUCAAGAAUACGUCCUGCCGCGUUGACAGCUCAAGGUUUCUAAAGAAUGCUACCACGAACUGCGUACCUGUGUGGUCGCUUGAUUUUGCUAAAACAAAAAGGCAUUCCAUAGUCAUGAAUAAAAGCGAGUCGAUGUAAAAUGACUAUAGUAACCAUAAAUAAAAUGCAAGGUUAUUAUAUC